GAGAAGAAGGGAGGUGUGGAGAGGGAUUGAGGCGUUAUGGAGGCAUUGUGGGUUCUCCUACGAGUUGCUGUCUGAGCUGUUGGUUCUCCUGGAGAAGCUCUGGUCUUCACAUCGAGCAUUGCUUCCUGGCUCCAGAGGGGAAGACAUGUGCUGCCUGGUCUCCAGGGUGAACUCGUCAUGCUGCUUCCUGGCACGUACCUGACUGUGCUUGUCGUUGGAGGAGCUUGGGGCCUCCAUGUCGCUGAGGACAGCUGUGAUGCCUUUCAGGACAGCCCCGCUCUUUGUUGUAUGUUUUCGGAACACCUGGCCUCCAAAAUUAUCCAUGCAGAGAAAGAGAAAUACAAACAAUUGCCACAGUUUGGAUGUUGAAUAUCCUCCAGCAGAUUGUGUAGACCACUUGGAUGGCUCUCCUUGAAUGAAGAACAAUUACCAUUGCUUCGCUAAACCUGGCCCCGUCUCCAUGAACUGGUUACACUGCAGGUGAUAGAUUGGAAUUAACUCAUCUGGAUGCCAAUAAUCUUUCAAUCGAAUUUCACUUCCCAGAUUAUGGAGGAGGACAGGAAAAGGAAUUCCACUACUGGGAUUACAAUAGAUUGUAUGUUGAAGAGCAGCAUUCCUGGAAGGUGGCGUGAGGCUUGCGAUUAUGCAUGUAAGUCACUGUACCUCACGGAGCCUGGAGGACCCCAGCCCUCUCCUUCCCCUCUCUGCUCCCUGGACAUGAGGGGAGCAGUUUCCUCUGCCACUCAUUCCCACAACAAAGUGCUGCCUCCUUGCAGGACCCAGAUAAUCAGGGCAACCGACCAGAUCCUGGGACCUCUGAAACCAUGAGCCAAAAAAUCCUUUGUCUUUAUAAAUUGCUGAUUGCAGUCUUUCAUUUGACUCUUUGGUUUAUCUCAGGUUAUUUUUAAUGGAACGCUGACUAUCACAGAGUAUAAGUGGGUUUGCAAUUGCUUCGCUUUCAAACUGAAAGAUGUCACUUUGUCUCAAUUCAUUGAUAUACACAAACUUGAUUGCUCCCAUGUGAAAAUAUAUAUGAAUGCACGAAAUUCACUGAAUCCAAACUAUCUCUGCUAUGCUCAAACUGUCUUGGGAUUUUGAUUCUACUACAAAGUCUUCUGGGCUUUGUUCUGUUUUGUUUUGUUGGAUUUUACUGUCUAAAAACAAAACAAAACAAAAACAAAACAAAACAAAACAAAAAAAAAAAAAAAAAAACACAAAGAAAGAAAAGAGCCUUCCAGUUCAUCCAGUUCAUGCUGGUGGAGUUGGGGAGAGCUCAAAGCAUAUGUAUAAGAGAGAGGCGUGGGUGGAACAAUGUGAGCCACUUCAUUGGUUGUCACAGAUUCAGUUAUUUUCUUAGUGAGGGGAGUCUUUAUUUUCCCCUCUGUUUUACUCAUAAGUUGAGCCUUAUGUUGUUCAGGGCAUGACCAUCAUUCUAGACAACAGAAUUUAAAAGACUUUUGAUGGUGCAGCAUAGGACAUCAUUGUGUUAAACAUUGUGUGAUUAUAACUGCACAAUGAAAUGACUAGCAUAGUAAAUAAUAGCAGUAGAGCUGUCUUUGAAAGAAAAGGUCAAUAUUAUACCUGCAUGCUGAUAGGAGAGAUUAAUAUACUCUUACUAUUAUUAAUAAUAGUAAUUAGGCUCUGUUGCGUUAGCUGAUAGUCAGGUCCCAUUUAUAGGAACAGGCUAAUGUGCUUCUUGAGCAUGACUUGGCAUUAUUUUAGCCCUUCAAUUAAAAGCGUUGAAAAUCAGUGCCAGGAUCUUCUUAUCAUUUUAUUAGCUUUUUGGCACUUGGAUUUUUUAUUUAUAUUGGGCUUACUUUUCCACCUCUGGAAAGUUAGCAAGAAUUUUUAUACAAAAAGAAGAAGCCUUAAUGCUUAACAUCAUUUCUGACUGGGGGCAUCAGGAUAGAUCUUUGCAUAUUUUGCAUCAUUUAGCACGGCCACUGAUACAAAUUAAGAAGACAGGCAUCCUUCUCAGGACAAUGAACACUUGUUCUUAGCUACAGAGUGAGGAGAUAGCAGUCUUCAACUGAGAUGACUAGCCAGGGAAACCCUUUGGAAGACCAGGAGUGGACACAGAACUGGAAGUGGAAAGAAGGGACCACUAAACUGCCUGUUUGGUGACCAGAUGAUGAAAUUUUUCCCUGUUGUACUUUAUAGUGAUUACUGUGUGAAAUGCUUGCAGAGAUGUAAAAAUGUGUCAGGAUGAUCCUUGUUUAAAAGUUAAACAUAGGAGGAUAAUUUAAGUGUUUCUUUGGUUCAGAUGAAUUUUCCUCUCUGUUAUACUCCACACCUUGAAUUUUCACUAAUAUCUCCAAUUUUGGAUUAAGGCAUGAAAGGUUUUUAUUAAAAUGAACCAGUGCUACCUGGUAGGGGUAAGCUAUUUACUCUUUUAUCAUUAAUUUCUAACUGUGAAUAAUUAAAACAAGAUUUCUUCACUCAGUUAAGUCUUGCAAAAGAAUCAUGUUAAUGUUUCAAAGUUUAAAAUUUAUUGCAUGCUGGAGUUGACAUUGAAAAUUGAGUUACUCUCCUAUUUGUUGCAUUAAUAAUCUUAUAAGAUGAGGUAGCUAGAACAAGUAGUCUCUUUUAACCAAGGAAGCACUGGAGACUCUGAUUGAUAUAUUUCUGUUCAAGGACAUUCUGGAGGACUGGGUUGUAUUAUAGCUGAGUACCGAGGGAACAGAGGAAGUGGAGAUCCCCAGGCAGGCUACUUCCUUUUGGAUCAGCAGGGAGCUGGUUUGUAAUUAAAGUAUGCAGGCAAAUUUAGAGGGUGUGGAGGGAAUCUAGAGAGGGGGAACAGAGAGAGAGAGACAGACAGAGAGAGAGAGAGAGAGAGAGAGAGAGAGAGAGAGAGAGAGAGAGAGAGAGAGAGGAGGGGGGCUUCUAGCAACAGCCAACAGUAGUAUUACUUAUCUUUUCUUGAGCAUCUAUUAAGUGUGAAGUGCUAAACUAGACUCAUCAAUAAUUUUAUUUUAUCUUCUUUAUAAUCCUGUAAGACAAUAAUGUUCCAAAGUUACAAAUCAGGAAGGAAGACUUUAGGACAGUUAAAAAUCUUGCUCAACUAAAAGUGGCAAACUAUUUCCCCAUUCCUAACGCCCACAUUCUUUUGGAGCCACAUGUUACAGUGCAAGAAAGCAAACAAAGAAAAGGUCACAGGAGGGCCUUGAAACAAAUAUCCCUUUCUUCACGUCUGUCUCAGGCUUGGCUUCUCUGCCCUUCACCUUUCCAUUAACUCUGUAACCCGCAAAGAACAGAAAUUUUAUCACAUUCAGGACAAAGUAAAGACUUCAAAAAGUUUUCCCAAGUCUUUUUCGUCUUGCCAAGUUGGAGACGAUUAUGCCAGACCUUUCACGUAUUUAUACAGUAACUCUCUUAUUGUUAAUGUAAACUAAUAAAAAGUACACUUUAUUUGUGUUCCCAAUAAGAUGGUUUUCGUCUGCCUUACUGAAAAAUGUGGCUGCCCGGUGUUGUCCUCUGACACCAACAGUUACUCCCAGCGAGUGUUGGGUGCAAUACAGUCUAGCAAAAGCUUCUGACCUGAUUUUUUUCUCAAGCCAAAGUCAUGUAGGGCAAAGAGUGAGUGACACACUGCAAAGUGGGAAGCCUGCCUUUCCCUGAAUGUUUGUGCCCACAGCUGCAAUAAACCGCAUUUCCUCCCCUUGAUGGAAAGAUGACCACCUCCGGGGUAAAAUGUGGUUCAAUAAAACAUGAUCACUUAAGAAGCUUCAAGCAAUGAUAAGCUGAUGGGUUUCCAUCGAUAUGGCAGACAGGGGCUGCUCAAGCUUCAAGGUUUUACUCCAUGUUGAACUGUCUUGAAUAGCCCUCUUACUCCAUUACUCAGUCUCCUCAUCUGUAAAAUGGGAAUAACAGUUGCCUAGUUCAAAGGUGUACUGUUAGAAUUGAUUAGUUCAGAUGAAGCUCUCUGCAGUCCCUGUCUGAGCAGCACCACCUGAUGAUAAUGGCUAGCUAGUGUCCUUAUUACUCUAACAUUCACCCAUAAUGCUCAUCCAUCAAAUACAGAUACAGAUACAGAUACUAAAAUGGGCCGGGCAAGGAUAGUGCCACUGCAUUUGGUGGCGGUUGCCCUGAAGAUAAAGCUGUCACACGCAGUUUCUCCCCAGAGCAAGCUUAAGCUAGUUGCAGUAUUGAUGUAGGUGAUCUUCUUGCCCGGAUGCACAGAGGUGCUUUAACUGGAGCUAAUUAUGGCGAGCAAUAAUGGCAGAGCCAAGAACUCACCUUGAUGGUGAUGAGACGCUCAAAGAGACUAUUUCUGAACCACAUCAUCAGGAAGAAUUUUCUGCACCAUUGGUGUGGGUAGCUUUCUGAACAACAUCAGGGCACCUCAAGAAAGAUGGUUGUGAUAUUCUUCUAGAAAGGAAGAGUACCAGAAAGAAUAGUUAUGCUUGAAAAUUGUCCUCUGUUAGAUCCAUGGUUUAUUUAUAUUGGCCAGUUUUAUUUUGUCUGUGUGUUUUUCCUCAUACAAAUGUCAUGUUCCUUGCAUUGGAAUGAAGGGACAAAAAUAAUUGACACAUGGUAUAAUUGAAAUGGAGCCUCCCAACACGAUAGGCUCUUUUUAAGAGUCACAAAGCAGGGGCUGGGGAUUUAGCUCAGCGGCAUAAGCGCCUGCCUUGCAAGCAGGCAGUCGUGAGUUUGGUCCCUGGUACCGAUAAAAAUGAAAAAGACAAAAAACAAAACAAAACAAAAAAAAAUACAAA